CCUACGGGUGGCUGCAGUGGGGAAUCUUGCGCAAUGCGCGAAAGCGUGACGCAGCAACGCCGCGUGGGGGAAGAAGGCCUUCGGGUUGUAAACCCCUUUCAGUUGGGACGAAGCUUCCACGGUGAACAGCCGUGUGGAGUGACGGUACCUUCACAAGAAGCCCCGGCUAACUACGUGCCAGCAGCCGCGGUAAUACGUAGGGGGCUAGCGUUGUCCGGAAUCAUUGGGCGUAAAGCGCGUGUAGGCGGCCCGGUAAGUCCGCUGUGAAAGUCGGG
rnacentral:rRNA from 1 species